AGCCGCCGCGGUAAUACCGGCGGCUCGAGUGGUGGCCACUUUUAUUGGGCUUAAAGCGUUCGUAGCUGGGUUGUUAAGUCUCUUGGGAAAUCUGGCGGCUUAACCGUCAGGCGUCUAAGGGAUACUGGCAAUCUUGGAACCGGGAGAGGUGAGGGGUACUUCGGGGGUAGGAGUGAAAUCCUGUAAUCCUCGAGGGACCACCUGUGGCGAAGGCGCCUCACCAGAACGGCUUCGACAGUGAGGGACGAAAGCUGGGGGAGCAAACCGGAUUAGAUACCCGGGUAGUCCCAGCCGUAAACGAUGCGCGUUAGGUGUAUCGGUGACCACGAGUCACCGAGGUGCCGAAGGGAAACCGUGAAACGUGCCGCCUGGGAAGUACGGUCGCAAGGCUGGAACUUAAAGGAAUUGGCGGGGGAGCACCACAACGGGUGGAGCCUGCGGUUUAAUUGGACUCAACGCCGGAAAUCUCACCGGAUAAGACAGCUGAAUGAUUGCCGGGCUGAAGACUCUGCAUGACUAGCUGAGAGGAGGUGCAUGGCCGUCGUCAGUUCGUACUGUGAAGCAUCCUGUUAAGUCAGGCAACGAGCGAGACCCACGCCAACAGUUGCCAGCAUGGUCUCCGGACUGAUGGGGACACUGUUGGGACCGCCUCUGCUAAAGAGGAGGAAGGAAUGGGCAACGGUAGGUCAGCAUGCCCCGAAUUAUCCGGGCUACACGCGGGCUACAAUGGGCAGGACAAUGGGUAUCGACACCGAAAGGUGAAGGCAAUCUCCUAAACCUGUCCGUAGUUCGGAUUGUGGGCUGUAACUCGCCCACAUGAAGCUGGAAUCCGUAGUAAUCG
rnacentral:rRNA from 1 species